rnacentral:rRNA from 1 species
CGAACGGGUGAGUAACGCGUGAGGAACCUGCCUCAUACAGGGGGAUAACAGUUGGAAACGACUGCUAAUACCGCAUAAGCGCACAGGGUCGCAUGACCUGGUGUGAAAAACUCCGGUGGUAUGAGAUGGACCCGCGUCUGAUUAGCCAGUUGGUGGGGUAACGGCCUACCAAAGCGACGAUCAGUAGCCGACCUGAGAGGGUGACCGGCCACAUUGGGACUGAGACACGGCCCAAACUCCUACGGGAGGCAGCAUG